AAAAGCUCGUAGUUGGAUCUCAGCUCCGGCCGGGCGGUCCACCUUUCGGUGGUUACUGCUCGACGCCGAGCGUUUCGGCGGUUAUUCUUGAUGAUCUUCAUCGGUUGUCUCGGGUGACCGCCAAGUUUACUUUGAAAAAAUUAGAGUGCUCAAAGCAGACGUGACGUCUGAAUAAUUGUGCAUGGAAUAAUGGAAUAGGACCUCGGUUCUAUUUUGUUGGUUUUCGGAACACGAGGUAAUGAUUAAGAGGGACAGACGGGGGCAUUCGUAUUGCGACGCUAGAGGUGAAAUUCUUGGACCGUCGCAAGACGAACUACUGCGAAAGCAUUUGCCAAGAAUGUUUCCAUUAAUCAAGAACGAAAGUUAGAGGUUCGAAGGCGAUCAGAUACCGCCCUAGUUCUAACCAUAAACGAUGCCAGCCAGCAAUCCGCCUGUGUUCCUCAAAUGACACGGCGGGCGGCUUCCGGGAAACCAAAGCUUUUGGGUUCCGGGGGAAGUAUGGUUGCAAAGCUGAAACUUAAAGGAAUUGACGGAAGGCCACUACCAGAAAUGGAGCCUGCGGCUUAAUUUGACUCAACACGGGGAAACUUACCCGGCCCGGACACAGGAAGGAUUGACAGAUUAAGAGCUCUUUCUUGAUUCUGUGGGUAGUGGUGCAUGGUCGUUCGUAGUUGGUGGGGCGACUUGUCUGGUUAAUUCCGAUAACGAACGAGACUCUAACCUACUAAAUAGACGUUCCGAUCCUCUUGAGUCGGACGUUCUUCUUAGAGGGACAGGCGGCGUCUAGCCGCACGAGACAGAGCAAUAACAGGUCUUGGAUGCCCUUAGAUGUCCGGGGCCGCACGCGCGCUACAUUGAAGGAAUCAGCGUGUGCUUUCCCUGUCCGAAAGGACUGGGUAACCCGUUGAACCUCCUUCGUGCUGGGGAUUGGCGCCUGUAAUUUCUCGCCAUGAACGAGGAAUUCCCAGUAAGCACGAGUCAUCAGCUCGUGUUGAUUACGUCCCUGGCCUUUGUGCACACCGCCCGUCGCUACUACCGAUUGAAUGAUUUAGUGAGGUCUUCGGACUGGCGCUCGGAUUGGCCUUCGCGGUCGAGCCGGUGUGCCGGAAAGAUGACCAAACUUGAUCAUUUAGAGGAAGUAAAAGUCGUAACAAGGUUUUC
rnacentral:rRNA from 1 species